UUUAAUUGUAAAAAUAUUCAUUUAAGUAGUAUUAGUUAUGGUCUUGAAAUUUAAAGAUUUUGGCGGUAUUUUAGUCUAUUCAGAGGAACCUGUCCUGUAAUUGAUAGUCCACGAUAAAUUAUACUUAAUAUAUUAAUUUGUAUAUCGUCGUUAUUAAGUAUUUUAAAAGAAUAUAAAUGUUUAAGUUUUUAAAUUAGAAAAUAUAUCAGAUCAAGGUGCAGUUUAUUAUUAAGAAGAGAUGGGUUACAAUAAAUUUAUUUAUAUGGAUUUAUAUAUAAAAAUUUAUAAAAAAAGUGGAUUUGAUAGUAAUAAUAUUCAAAUAAAUUUUAUGAUUUUAGCUCUAAAAUGUGU
rnacentral:rRNA from 1 species